UUUCUUUAAAAAAAAAUUGAGACACAAAGGAGAUGAAUAAGAAGAAAAUUUUUAAUUUCUUUUUGACCAACAUCAAGCGAAUUAGAUGAUUAGUUAUUGGUUAAAAAAGAAAAUUAAAAUUACUUCAAUUUUCUUCUAUUUCAUCCAUAAAUCUAUAUAUAUAUAUAUAUCUGAUUUUAUGUAUAUUAUUGGUAUUGCUAACAUGUGGUUGAGACUAGAUAAUGGUUGUGAUGUUGCAAUAUAUAUAAUAUUAGUUUGUAUUUUAGCGUGAAGUACGAAUUGGUUGUGUGUUAAUUUAAAUUUCCGCUAUAUUUUUAGUUAAAAAUUAAAAUAUAUAGUAAUUUAAAUGUAUUAUUAUAACAUAUUUAAAUUA
rnacentral:lncRNA from 1 species